rnacentral:rRNA from 1 species
CCUACGGGAGGCAGCAGUAAGGAAUCUUGCGCAAUGGGCGAAAGCCUGACGCAGCGACGCCGCGUGGGCGAUGAAGGCCUUCGGGUUGUAAAGCCCUUUUCUGGGGGACGAGGAAGGACGGUACCCCAGGAAUAAGUCACGGCUAACUACGUGCCAGCAGCCGCGGUAAAACGUAGGUGGCAAGCGUUAUCCGGAAUCACUGGGCGUAAAGGGCGUCUAGGCGGACGGGUAAGUCGUGCGUGAAAGCUUCCGGCUCAACCGGGAGAGGGCGUACGAUACUGCCUGUCUUGAGGGGACCAGAGGAGAGUGAAAUUCCCGGUGUAGUGGUAAAAUGCGUAGAUAUCGGGAGGAACACCAGUGGCGAAGGCGGCUCUCUGGGGUAAACCUGACGCUGAGGUGCGAAAGCGUGGGGAGCGAACCGGAUUAGAUCCCCGGGUAGU